UACACCCAUAUCACGUUGAAACACAGGUUCCCAUAUGAUCACCGAAGUUAAGCAACGUGGAGCCUGGUUAAUACCUAGAUAGGUGACUGUAUCAGGAGUACCAAGUGUUGUAAG